UACAGAGGUCUCAAGCGUUGUUCGGAUUCAUUGGGCGUAAAGGGUGCGUAGGCGGCGCGGUAAGUCGGGUGUGAAAUCUCGGAGCUUAACUCCGAAACUGCAUUCGAUACUGCCGUGCUUGAGGACUGGAGAGGAGACUGGGAUUUACGGUGUAGCGGUGGAAUGCGUAGAGAUCGGGAAGAACACCAGUGGCGAAGGCGGCGUUCUGGGCUGCAACUGACGCUGAGAUGCGAAAGUGUGGGGAGCAAACGGG
rnacentral:rRNA from 1 species